AGAGAAAGAAGGCUCUUACUGUCUGCUUUGAUUCAAUAUAUGCAUGGGAAGUAUCUUAAUUAAUGACAGCAAUGGUCAAGGGAACUCUAAUGGAUUACAGUAUUGAGGGUUAGGGUGGGAGGAGUGGGAUCAGAGAGGCUGAUGGAGAGCCUGAAAGAAUUCUUAUUUAUGGGGUCAGGAACUUGAUAAGGAGAAUGGAGAGGAGGUUUUACAAUGAGUUUAGAAAUAAAGAUUUGGGGAAAGCCAGUAAACUCUUAGAUAUUUUAUUACAGCACCUCUCCUUUAAGAUGUGUCCCUUACAUAUUUAAAAGAAGAAUUAUAUUUAUUGUAAUACAAAACUUCUGACUCUAAACUUCUUAAUCCUACAAUAAUGCCAGACUGUCAUAAGGAUUAUGUACCAAUACAGUGUUUCAAAUAACUCAUAGCUGCACGCCUUAUACACCUAGGAAGCAAAGACAUUACUAACAACAUUGGGUAAUCAAAUAUUUAACUCAAGUUUCUAUUGAUUUCAACACACAAAAAAAGCUGGUACAUUUCCUGGAACUAGGGGCUGGGAGAAUGAAGGGGAAUUCCCAUAUGUUUCCUUUUGAUUCUAUUCAGAAAGUCAGGUGAACCAAGAAAAGAGUUAGAAUUUCAACUUGAAAUAUGAAAAUUAUUUUCUUCUCAUCCCAGAUCAAUCCAUCUGUUUUACAUAGUUUCCCUCUUCUCCUCAGAAAUUUUUUUGGAAAAGAACUUAUGUCUGAUGUCUGAUGAAAACAAUUUAUGUCAGACAUAAACUCAGAAUUUAGGGCUGAAUUUAUGUUCAUAUGUCCUUAUUUCCUGAAAUGGUAUCAGGGCAUAAGGACAUAUGGAAACACUGUGGGGUAUCUGGGAGCAGAAAUAUUUGGAUAAUGGAAAAGUUUAUUGAAACCAAGGGACUUUGAAUUAUAGAAACAAACCAAACCCAAAAUAGACACAAAUCUCCAUAACUUACAAUUUUCCUUAGAUCUUAGAAAGAAUCUCAAGAGGGAGAAGCAGUGUUAAUUGUUCUAGAAUCAGAGAUUUAAACCUUAAAAAAAAUUCUACAUUUUAAAUUAACUGAUAUUCAAACAAGGAGAUUCAAUCCAAAAUUGGGCGAGGGAAGUGAAUUUAACUAAUCAAAAAACAUUUACAGAGCUUAGCACAGUAUAAAAUUCUAUAGAAGCAGCAGAGAAUUAUAAUGUGACCCUGCCCUUAAGGGACUUAUAAGGAUGAUAUGUUUAAAAAAUAAAAGAAUUAAAGGAGAACUUAACACUUUUUGAAUUAUUGAUUAGUCUUCAUAUGGAAGCGGGUUUAAACUGUAGAAGACAGGUAAAGUAAAUUGCAUCUCAAUAACAAGAAUGUUCUUAAAAUUGGCAAUGUUCAAAGGUGGAAUAGACUGGCCCAUCAGGUAGUAGAUUCCGUCAUUCAACAUUCAUUCAUAUAUUGAGCUUUCACCAUCUGUCACACAUGUGCUGGGGUGAUGAGGUUCAACAGUGAGCAGGACACUUCCCUUACCCUCCAGGGGCCACAUCCCAGGAUACAUCAUCUCUGUCUAGAUGUUUAUUGGACAUGGAUGUUCUGAAAGAAAACAGCAAGUUUCUUUUUAAUCUCUUUAAGAAGACAAAACAUACAUAUAUAAUAUUAAGUAUUGGUAUAAUAUUUAAAUUAAAGGUCAAGACAACAGCAAGGAGUGAGAGACAUUCAGCAGCACAGAAAAAAAUGCUAUAGGAGUUCAGAAAUAUCACUUAGGACUGGAGUGGAUUUGGGAGGACUCUAGGGGGAGCUGGAACUUAGACGGAUGGAGAACAAGGGCUUUUCAAAUAGAAAUGGCCAUACAAAUAUGUAAGUAGAGUGCUCAACAAAUUGUUGCUAUGAUGACUACCUUCCAAUAUUGGCCCUAUUAAUAGAAAUGUUGGCUUACCAGGAAAAUUUUUUUUUAUUAGAAAAGACUUCAACUGCCAGUGUGUUUUGGACUGGGGUGAAUUCAUCUGGUUGGCUCAAUCUUUUAGUGUUGACUUGACUCUGAACAAUGUCAACAACUGCACUGUACACUUGAAUCAAUCCAAUUACGUCCUGGCUGUCAGUUUUCUUGCACAACAUCCUUUCUCAAUGCUGUGUUGUGUAAUAUAUGUGCAAGAAAAUAUAAACAGCUGAUUGCCAGGAGGGAUUUAAUGUAAAGUUUUUCCAGUGAAACAAAACGUAAGAAUCUGAGUUUGUUUUUCAAAGAUCACUAAAUUUUAGUUAUGAUUAUAUCACAUUUUCCAAAAUGUGUGGCAGUUUUUGCCCUCCUUGCUCUGAGUGUUGGUGCACUGGACACUUUUAUUGCUGCAGUAUAUGAGCAUGCGGUGAUAUUACCAAACAGAACAGAAACACCUGUUUCAAAAGAAGAAGCUUUGCUCCUGAUGAACAAGAACAUAGAUGUUUUGGAGAAAGCAGUUAAGCUGGCAGCGAAGCAGGUAUUACCCUUUUAUACUUGUAAAGGAGACUUGCAGUUUGGUCAAAGAGUAUUUGGAAUUCAUGACAAACUUUUUUGCCCCACUUGUUUCGAGCAGGGUGCACAUAUCAUUGUGACCCCAGAAGAUGGAAUCUAUGGUUGGAUCUUCACCAGGGAGAGCAUUUACCCCUAUCUAGAGGAUAUACCAGACCCUGGAGUGAACUGGAUUCCAUGUAGAGACCCCUGGAGUACAAUCUUUUUGCACCUGAAAUUCAGUUUGAUUUCCCCAAGGAUUCAGAACUUGUGACUUUUGACACUCCCUUUGGGAAGUUUGGCAUUUUUACUUGCUUUGACAUUUUUUCUCAUGACCCAGCUGUGGUGGUGGUGGAUGAGUUUCAAUUGACAGCAUUCUCUACCCCACAGCAUGGUACAACACGCUGCCCCUCCUCUCGGCUGUUCCCUUCCAUUCAGCAUGGGCCAAGGCCAUGGGAGUCAAUCUACUUGCUGCAAAUACCCACAACACCAGCAUGCACAUGACAGGGAGUGGAAUCUACGCCCCAGAAGCAGUCAAGGUGUACCACUAUGACAUGGAAACAGAGAGUGGUCAGCUGUUGCUAUCAGAACUGAAGUCUCGGCCCCGCCGUGAGCCCACCUACCCUGCAGCUGUUGACUGGCAUGCGUAUGCCAGCAGUGUCAAGCCAUUUUCCUCUGAACAGUCAGAUUUUCUGGGGAUGAUUUAUUUUGAUGAGUUUACCUUCACCAAGCUUAAGAGAAAUACAGGAAAUUACACAGCUUGCCAGAAAGAUCUGUGUUGUCACUUAACUUACAAGAUGUCUGAGAAGCGAACAGACGAGAUCUAUGCCCUAGGUGCUUUUGAUGGACUGCACACAGUAGAAGGCCAAUAUUACUUACAGAUAUGUGCAUUACUGAAGUGUCAAACCACUGACCUGGAAACGUGUGGAGAACCUGUGGGGUCAGCUUUUACCAAGUUUGAAGACUUCUCCCUCAGUGGCACAUUUGGAACGCGUUAUGUUUUCCCACAGAUCAUUCUAAGUGGGAGUCAGCUUGCCCCUGAAAGACAUUAUGAGAUUUCAAGAGAUGGACGCUUGAGGAGCCGAAGUGGAGCCCCUUUGCCUGUCUUAGUUAUGGCCCUGUAUGGAAGAGUGUUUGAGAAGGACCCUCCACGCUUAGGGCAGGGAUCUGGGAAAUUCCAGUGAUCUCCUUUAGCAGAGCCCUUUUAGGAUUAGCCUGGCUAAGAAAGGAAGAAAAAAAAGAGAUCCGUUAGUGUCUGUUUAGAAAAGAUGUUAUAAACUUACAGAAACAAAUAUAAUAAACUGAAGCAGAUUUGAAAAGCAA
ensembl:lncRNA VNN3P vanin 3, pseudogene